CCCGGUGGCUCGAGCGAGGCGCCCCCACCCGAUCCCAUCCCGAACUCGGCCGUGAAACGCCUCAGCGCCCAGGGUACUGUGCCUCAAGGUACGGGAGAGCAGGUCGCCGCCGGGC
rnacentral:rRNA from 1 species